rnacentral:snRNA from 1 species
GUGCUCACCGUGGCACCACGUAUACUCAAAUUGGAACCAUACAGAGAAGAUUGGGAUGGCCACUGUGCAAGGAUGGCACUUGAAAUGUUCUGUAUUUUU